rnacentral:lncRNA from 10 species
GCCAUUAAUAGAAGGCUCCUACAGCCCCUCCCUCCUCAAGUUUGAUAAUUUGCUAGAAUGCGUCACAGAACACAGGGAAGUGCUUUACUUACUAUUACUACUUUAUUACAAAGGCUUCAACUCAGGAACAGCCACAAAGAAGAGGUGCACAGGGCCAGGAGGAGGCUUCUGUUCAGCAGCAAUUUGGAUACAAACCCAGCAAGGUUCCUAUUUUAAAAUCCUGGCUGAGAGUAGCGGCUCGUGCCUGCAAUCCCAGCACUUUGGAGUCUGAAUUGGAAGGAUCUCUUGAGGACAGGAGUUCAAGACCAGCCUGGGCAACAUGGAGAAACCCCUGUGUCUACA